rnacentral:rRNA from 1 species
GCUGGCGGCGUGCUUAACACAUGCAAGUCGAGCGAGGCCUGGGGGGCAACUCCCAGAGUCGAGCGGCGGACGGGUGAGUAACACGUGGGUAACCUGCCCGGAAGUGGGGAAUACCUCGGGGAAACUCGAGCUAAUUCCGCAUGACAUCUUCGGGACGAAAGUCCUGACGAUCAAAGCGGGGUCGCAAGAUCUCGCGCUACCGGAUGGGCCCGCGCCCGAUUAGCUAGUUGGUGAGGUAACGGCUCACCAAGGCUUCGAUCGGUAACCGGCCUGAGAGGGCGAUCGGUCACACCGGAACUGAGACACGGUCCGGACUCCUACGGGAGGCAGCAGUGGGGAAUCUUGCGCAAUGGGCGAAAGCCUGACGCAGCAACGCCGCGUGGAGGAUGAAGGCCCUUGGGUUGUAAACUCCUGUCGGCUGGGAAGAAAUCGUUCGUGGCUCAUACCCACGGACGUUGACUGUACCAGCAAAGGAAGCCCCGGCUAACUCUGUGCCAGCAGCCGCGGUAAUACAGAGGGGGCUAGCGUUAUUCGGAAUUAUUGGGCGUAAAGGGCGCGUA